AGCAUGGUGGUGCAGUGGUUUGCACUGUGGCUUCGCAAUGCAGAGGUUUUGGGUUUGAGUCCUGGCCUGCCA